AUUGAACGCUGGCGGCAGGCUUAACACAUGCAAGUCGAGCGGGGGAAGGUAGCUUGCUACCGGACCUAGCGGCGGACGGGUGAGUAAUGCUUAGGACUCUGCCUAUUAGUGGGGGACAACAUCUCAAAAGGGAUGCUAAUACCGCAUACGUCCCACGGGAGAAAGCAGGGGAUCGUUCGACCGUGCGCUAAUAAAUGAGUCGAAGUCGGAUUAGCUAGUUGGUGGGGUAAAGGCCUACCAAGGCGACGAUCUGUAGUGGGUCUGAGAGGAUGAUCCGCCACACUGGGACUGAUACACGGCCCAGAAUCCUACGGGAGGCAGCAGUGGGGAAUAUUGGACAAUGGGGGGAACCCUGAUCCAGCCAUGCCGCGUGUGUGAAGAAGGCCUUAUGGUUGUAAAGCACUUUAAGCGAGGAGGAGGCUACUUUAGUUAAUACCUAGAGAUGGUGGACGUUACUCGCAGAAUAAGCACCGGCUAACUCUGUGCCAGCCGCCGCGGUAA
rnacentral:rRNA from 1 species